UACGGGGGGGGCAAGCGUUGUUCGGAAUUACUGGGCGUAAAGGGCUUGUAGGUGGCCAACUAAGUCAGACGUGAAAUCCCUCGGCUUAACCGGGGAACUGCGUCUGAUACUGGAUGGCUUGAGUGUGGGAGAGGGAUGCGGAAUUCCAGGUGUAGCGGUGAAAUGCGUAGAUAUCAGGAGGAACACCAAUGGCGAAGGCAGCUCUCUGGUACAUGAUUGACGCUGAGACGCGAAAGCGUGGGUAGCAAACAGG
rnacentral:rRNA from 1 species